CGCCCCUUGCUAGGGGCAAAGAGACACCUUGCUGGUGGCAUUGUCCUUGUAUCAGUCAAGGGCAGAGCAGGUGGCAGCCCUUUGUUCAUCCUAACUCGAUGCCUGGCUUGGUGGCUAAAGCUGGUUUACACCUAGGAGUCAUAG